ensembl:lncRNA
CCCCUGUCCUCAUCUCUUCCUUUCCUCCUGCCCCAGAAUAUAUUUCUUAGGGAGCAGCUGGACUGAAAGUUAUGGAGGAGCUCAGUGGGUUUGGAGGGGGAGAGGGAGAGAAGCUCCCCUCAAAUGCCCUCUCAGUUAAGGUUUGUUCUUUAAAUAUCCCACGUUUGUGCUAGAAGUGUUACAACAAAGUAGGCAAUGUGUUUUGUCUACAGACUAACCUGUGCACAUAGUUUCGCGUUAGCGUCCUUUCAUUCCUUCUAGAUAAUCUGUUACUGCUAUUAAUAGAAACAUACGCAACCUUCCUGGUGACCGAAAUUGCCUGGAGAUAACAAGAGGUUUUCUCGUUGUGCCUGGAACUUUUUGGUUGGGCGUUUUUUUGGGUGUUGGGCUGGCAACGGUGGAGCAAAGGCCUAGUGCAGCAGGCGAAGGCUUGUUCUGCUGGUGGAGCCACUGGAGGCCUGUGUGAGGAAUGCCCCUUGCUUUCCAGGACAUGACCUGGAUGCACCCCAAUACAGGGUACAGUCUGGUGGUUAUGAUAUGCAGUGCCUGCUGACAAACCAAGAAGCUGUUUUGAUGACCCGUUGUGCAAAGAAACCUGUCUGCAGGCCGUAUGUCUGUGUGAUUACAAAAGUGGAGCAUUUCUUAUCCCCAGUGUUAAGUGGAACCAGUCUGGCUGAGCUGAGUAGAAACGCAGUGACUAGUGCUGGGGCCGUUACUGGCUGUGUAUGGGGAGGCAUCCUCUGGAGAUGGAUCGGGCAGAACAAGCAAACCAUGACAUUCAGCCGUUACGUCUGCAAGCAGAUCUGCGGCUACUUCCUGCAGUUGUCCAUGGUGUUUCUCAUUGGGUACUUGUUGAAAGACCAUUUGUGUGCUCCAAUAUAGAGAGCAAGUACUUUACACUAAGGCAUCGCUGUGAGAAUUUGGUGUGAUCAGAGAGGAGAGACCUGUUUAUUCACCAGGACAUCUUGGAAGAUGGGCUCCAAUUCAGAUUUCCUGUAUGAAUUGGAAAAAAAACACAAAACAUGUAUUCAUCAAGAUAAGGGCAUUUCAGCAAGAUACAGGUCAAGUUCCUAAGAAGUCUGGAAAUUUGGACUUUAGUCUCUCCCUGCCUAAGUUCCCCACAUGAAAAUCUUGCUUUGUCCACCAUGAAUUUGGUCCUUGACUGACUGCCAGUGUUUCACAGUGAACAUCAGCUCCUGCACAGAGGUGAUGAUUCGUUUUGAAGAAUCCCCGGGGUCAUUUUGAAGUUCUGUAUGAUGGCAGAGCUGUUUGCAAGACUGUAUUUAGACAGUGCAUCUUGAAGCUGAACGGGUAGAGGGAAGCACCUAAUGCCUAGGUUGACACGUGCUGCUCCACGCACCAGCUGCUCUGAGGCUAAAGCAGAGAGACCUGAUGGUCUGGAGACCUUACGUCAUCUCCAAGGAAGGUGAGAGGGUGGUGGUGCCUCUGGCUGUGGGCCUUGCCCCGAAUUUGUGCAGAGCUCACCCACAAUUCAGCCUGCUGUUAAUUUCCAUGUGAAGAAAUUUGAUUUUGUCAUAGAGCUGAUGGACGUGACCCACACAUCCUGCCAUAAUUUUUAAACAAAUGUAUAGGCUCGCCUAUUGAAGGAAGGCAGUACCUCCUGCUUGUUGAGGUGCACAGGGUGUUAAAGGGCUGACAUGCAGAGAGCUUGCCCUGCUAAUGGAUUGGGAUUUUUAUAGACAGAAGGGAUAUGCUGUAGUCGGAGUGGUAAAUCUGUAAUGACAGACGUUUGUUCUAUAUUUGUGAAUGACCUGAUUUGGCAUGCAUGCAGUUCAUUCUCCUGACAAUAAUGGAAACAUGGUGUGAGACAGACAGAGAAAUAAAGCUGUGGUUAAACUGAAGCUACA